GCCCCAGUGGCCUAAUGGAUAAGGCACUGGCCUCCUAAGUCAGGGAUUGUGGGCAUAAGUCCCAUCUGGGGUG
rnacentral:tRNA from 1 species